UACGUAGGGGGCAAGCGUUGUCCGGAUUUACUGGGCGUAAAGAGCGUGUAGGCGGACAAGCAGGUCCGUUGUGAAAACUGGAGGCUUAACCUCCAGACGUCGACGGAAACCGCGUGGCUAGAGUCCGGAAGAGGAGAGUGGAAUUCCUGGUGUAGCGGUGAAAUGCGCAGAUAUCAGGAAGAACACCAAUGGCGAAGGCAGCUAUCUGGGAUGGUACUGACGCUGAGACGCGAAAGCGUGGGGAGCGAACAGG
rnacentral:rRNA from 1 species